CUAUAGGCCCGGCAAGAUGGACCAGGUUAAAUCUGAAUAAUUAGGCCUACCUGAAGAAUUCAGUGCACUGAAUCCAGUGGCUAUUCACAAGCUCCAGCAACCAGCUGCUGGUGAGGUAGAUUUUCCAGCAUUGCUAGGAGCAGCACAUUUGACAUAUAAUAAAAGAUGGCGCCAAAGCUGGAGAAUGUGACAUUCUUUAAUGGUCAUAAAAUGCCUAUUGUUGGGCUAGGAACAUUUCAGUCGUCUAAAGGUGAAGUUGGACGUGCUGUUGAUAUUGCCUUGGAAACAGGCUACAGGCACAUUGAUACAGCUUACAUGUAUGGAAAUGAAGCAGAAAUAGGGCAAGCUUUAAAGAAAUGGCUUGAUUCAGGGAAACUGAAACGUGAAGAUCUUUUUAUUGUAACUAAGCUUCCACCUGCUGGAAAUCGUGCAGAAUCUGUAGAAAAGUACCUUAAAAAAUCUCUAGACGCCCUGCAGUUGAGUUACGUUGACUUGUACCUGAUACACCACCCUGUGGGGGUCCAGGAUGUGGGUGGUCAAACUUUACCGAGGGACAAGGAUGGAAAUGUUCUCUUGGACAUGGAAACUGACAUCAUCAGCCUGUGGAAGGCAAUGGAAGCUCAAGUGGAUGCCGGUAGAGCUCGUUCAAUCGGGCUGUCAAACUUCAACUCUAGCCAAAUCAAACGCAUCUGGCAGGCUGCCCGCAUCAAGCCAGCCAAUCUGCAGGUGGAGCUGCACAUCUACUUCCAGCAGAGGGAGUUGGCUGCCUUUUGCAAAGCACUCGAUGUGACAGUCUGUGCAUAUGCUCCCUUGGGCUCUCCACAGUUGUCCAACGUAGUACGUGCAAGAGGAGGCGAUGUUAACAAGGACGGCCACGGCGUGCCAAACUGUACACGUGUACAGAUGUGCUGCAUGCGUGCUUCGCCACUACUUGGCUUUCCUCGGUCUUUUGCGGCACUGCUCGGCACGGCGCGACAUUAGAGUAGCUGUGCAAUGCGACAUCUUUUCAUCCGGCGUAGGGUGAAUUAGUUGAUUUGUAGUGGAAGCCAUGUUUAUUCCUCACUAUUUGUUAGCGAUUCAUAGGAAGUUUAUAAGUACUGUACAGUGGUUGUGGCAAUGGAACACACGCUCACAAAGAGGUGGGGUAGUGACACAAUGUCACGAGCCUUGAGAGCUGAAUGGAAAUUGCAAUAUUUUUUCGAAGAGAAGGAUGAAAAUUCUCAAUGUCUAUUAUGCAGUCGCAUACUCGCUGGGCACCGCAAAUUUGCAAUAUAACGGCAUUAUAACACCACACACAAAGGACUUAAUGAUUUAGUUGGGUUCAUAGAUCAAACAAGUUGGCAGAAUUAAGAAGACGUAGUAUUAUGCAGCAAACAGACCAAACCCUGCAAUCGAACAUAGCAACCUGUCUUUAAGAGCAAGCUACAAAAUAGCGCUCAAAAUUGCAAGAGCGAAUAAGCCUUUCAGUGAUGGUGAUUUCAUCAAGGAGUGUAUUGUUGAGGCAGCGGAACUCUUGACGCCACUGGAAGUAAAGAAGUUUAGUGAAAUUAGUCUUUCCAGACAGACAAUAGCUCGCCGCAUAGCUGGUAUGGCAGCGGAUGUAUACAGGCAGUUAAUUGAUACUGCCUGCAACUUUAUUGCAUUCUUGAUUGCUUUGGACGAGUUGACCGACAUUUCGGACACAGCACAACUAGCGACUUAUGUUGGUGGAGUCGACACAAAUUUGCACGUGAUGGAAGAACUGUUAGAUUUAGUACCAAUGAAACACACAACGAGGGAUACCGACUUGCUAAAAGCAGUUGAAGAGGCAGCUGAAGCCGUUGGCCUGAAUUGGAAAAUGUUAGUUUCAGUCACCACGGAUGGAGCGCCAGCAAUUUGAGGUGCUCAAAAUGGGUUGUAGCAUUGUUGCGUAAAAAACUAGGAUGAUCGACAGAAGAUUUGUACGGAAUGAAUUGUUUUGUACACCAAGAAGCUCUUUGUGCUAAGUAUGCAAAUUUGGGGCAUGUAAUGAAGUUUGGUAGUCACCAUUGUACAUUUUACGAAGAGUAAGGAGAUGUUAUUUACCACUGGGAAACAUGUUGGUUAAGUUGAGGAUCAUGCCUCGAAAGAUUUUUCAAUUUAAGACCUUGCUAUUGUUGCGUUCCUGAAGGAAAAAGGAAAGGCAGAGCCAAAAUUAGAAGAUUGAAAAUGGAUUGCAGACCUCGCCUUUUUAGUUGAUCUGACUGCACACUUGAACGCUCUCAAUAAGACUUUGCAA